rnacentral:rRNA from 1 species
AGAGUUUGAUUCUGGCUCAGGAUGAACGCUAGCGGCAGGCCUAAUACAUGCAAGGCGAGGGGUUAGCAAUAACACCGUCGUACGGGUGCGUAACGCGUAUGCAACCUACCUAUCACAGGGGGAUAGCCUUUGGAAACAGGGAUUAAUACCGCAUAAAGCAGGGGCUUGGCAUCAAGAUACUGCUAAAGAUUUAUCGGUGAUAGAUGGGCAUGCGUCUGAUCAGUUAGAUGGUGAGGUAACGGCUCACCAUGACGAUGAUCAGUAGGGGGCGUCAGAGCGUGGUCCCCCACACUGGCACUGAGAUACGGGCCAGACUCCUACGGGAGGCAGCAGUAGGGAAUAUUGGGCAAUGGAUGCAAGUCUGACCCAGCCAUGCCGCGUGCAGGAAGAAGGUCCUCUGGAUUGUAAACUGCUUUUUUCGGGGAAGAAGAGUUCUCUUGCGAGAGAAUGUGACGGUACCCGAUGAAUAAGCCACGGCUAACUACGUGCCAGCAGCCGCGGUAAUACGUGGGUGGCAAGCGUUGUCCGGAUUUAUUGGGUUUAAAGGGUGCGUAGGUGGUUUGAUAAGUCAGUGGUGAAAGCUGGUUGCUCAACAAUCAAGUUGCCAUUGAUACUGUCGGACUUGAGAGAAGUGGAGGUUCAUGGAAUGGAUGGUGUAGCGGUGAAAUGCAUAGAUAUCAUCCAGAACGUCGAUUGCGAAGGCAGUGGGCUGUACUUUUUCUGACACUGAGGCACGAAAGCGUNNNGAUCAAACAGGAUUAGAUACCCUGGUAGUCCACGCUGUAAACGAUGCGAACUAGCUUUUUGGUUUAGGAUUA